AAAUUGAAGAGUUUGAUCAUGGCUCAGAUUGAACGCUGGCGGCAGGCCUAACACAUGCAAGUCGAACGGUAACAGGAAACAGCUUGCUGUUUCGCUGACGAGUGGCGGACGGGUGAGUAAUGUCUGGGAAACUGCCUGAUGGAGGGGGAUAACUACUGGAAACGGUAGCUAAUACCGCAUAACGUCGCAAGACCAAAGAGGGGGACCCUCGGGCCUCUUGCCAUCGGAUGUGCCCAGAUGGGAUUAGCUUGUUGGUGGGGUAACGGCUCACCAAGGCGACGAUCCCUAGCUGGUCUGAGAGGAUGACCAGCCACACUGGAACUGAGACACGGUCCAGACUCCUACGGGAGGCAGCAGUGGGGAAUAUUG
rnacentral:rRNA from 1 species